UACGUAGGGUGCAGGCGUUAAUCGGAAUUACUGGGCGUAAAGCGUGCGCAGGCGGUUUGCUAAGACCGAUGUGAAAUCCCCGGGCUUAACCUGGGAACUGCAUUGGUGACUGGCAGGCUAGAGUAUGGCAGAGGGGGGUAGAAUUCCACGUGUAGCAGUGAAAUGCGUAGAGAUGUGGAGGAAUACCGAUGGCGAAGGCAGCCCCCUGGGCCAAUACUGACGCUCAUGCACGAAAGCGUGGGGAGCAAACAGG
rnacentral:rRNA from 1 species